GGACAACUGGGCAACUUUUCCUCAGCACAGCAAAUAGAUAAAGACAGCACCUCAGUCGUCCAGAAUAGAAGAAGAAAAUGAAAAUGGGGUGCCCGCAUUCCUGGAACCUGGAUCCACUGGUUCCUCAAUCAAGAGAAAUAAAGAUGAUGCAGCACUCCACAAAUAUGCAAAAGUUUAUUCUGCAGGAAGUAAUGUCUUGUCGUGUCGCGGUCUCGCUCUUUGGGAUGGCGUCCAGUCCAUCACAUGCUCCACUAGGAUCUGGGAUUUGGCAGGAAGCAGCCGUUCCAACAACCAGACGUGAAGAAUAAAGGACCUUGGAGACUUCAGGGGUAAAAAGUAAUGGAAAGAAGAGAAAACAGCAAAUCCAGGAGUCAUUCCCAGAACAAUGAUUGGCACAUACAGGAGGGGUUCUCUCACCCUGUGUGGGGGUCUGGGCUCCCGCACAUCUCUUCUGUCUGCCAAACUUCUGGUUCAUUCUUUCUAGGAAAAGUUAUUGAGUGAAACGCUUCACACACCAAACCGCAACGUCAACAGUGACCCCACAACACUGCUAGCCACAGGACCACCAGAGACAGCAACAGCCUAAGACCCCCUGUAACAUUGACAUUGUAGGAUCCUUCGUAACAGACCAAGUCCCCCAAUGAGGGGUCAGGACCCUGCAUGACCCAAUAACAGCAGAAAACCUCCAUUAACUCACUAGCAGCACAGGACCCCAAUAACAGCACAUGACACUCCCAAUUACCUAAUAACAGCAGAUACUUCAAUAACAGCACUUGAUCCCAGUAACUAAAUAACAGCACUUGACCCCACAAUAACCCAAUAACAGCACAUGACCCCACAAUAACCCAAUAACAGCACAUGACCCCACAAAAACCCAAUAACAGCACAUGACCCCACAAUAACCCAAUAACAGCACAUGACCCCACAAUAACCCAAUAACAGCACAUGACCCCACAAUAACCCAAUAACAGGGACCGCAAUGGGGAGCAAUACUGCGCCUACAUACGCAAAUAUAUACAUGGCGCAUUUUGAGGAGAUGUACGUCUAUGUGUCG